AUGGACGCUGGCGGCGUGCCUAAUCCAUGCCAGGUGAACGAAACUUCUCUAUCACCGUGUGCUUGCACCCACCGAUAAAGAGUUGAGUGGCGAACGGGUGAGUAACACGUGGGCAACCUGCCCAAAAGAGGGGGAGAACACUUGGAAACAGGGGUUAAUACCGCAUAACCAUAGUUACCGCAUGGUAACUAUGUAAAAGGUGGCUAGACUACCGCAUUUGGCUGGGCACGCGGCGCAUUAGCGAGUUGGUAGGGUAAAGGCUUACCAAGGCAAGGAGGCGUAGCCGAAACGAGGGGUUGAUCGACCAGAUGGGGACUGAGACAGAGCACAAACUCCGGCGGGGGGACGCGGUAGAGAAUCUUCCGCGAUGGGCGAAAGCCGGAUGGAGCAACACCGCGUAGGGGAAGAAGGUCUCCGGACCGUAGAACCCUGUUGUUAGUAAGAAAAGUGAGUGAGAGUAACUGUUCACGUAUCGACGGUACCCAGCCAGAAAGCCCCGGCUAACUACGUG
rnacentral:rRNA from 1 species